rnacentral:rRNA from 1 species
UACGUAGGGUGCAAGCGUUAAUCGGAAUUACUGGGCGUAAAGCGUGCGCAGGCGGCUUUGCAAGACAGAUGUGAAAUCCCCGGGCUUAACCUGGGAACUGCAUUUGUGACUGCAUGGCUGGAGUGCGGCAGAGGGGGAUGGAAUUCCGCGUGUAGCAGUGAAAUGCGUAGAUAUCUGGAGGAACACCGGUGGCGAAGGCGGCAUCCUGGACCAACACUGACGCUGAGUGAGCGAAAGCCAGGGGAGCAAACGGG